rnacentral:rRNA from 1 species
AACGAACGCUGGCGGCAGGCUUAACACAUGCAAGUCGAACGCCCCGCAAUGGGAGUGGCAGACGGGUGAGUAACGCGUGGGAAUCUACCUAGUUCUACGGAACAACAGUUGGAAACGACUGCUAAUACCGUAUACGCCCUAUGGGGGAAAGAUUUAUCGGAAUUAGAUGAGCCCGCGUAAGAUUAGCUAGUUGGUGAGGUAAUGGCUCACCAAGGCGACGAUCUUUAGCUGGUCUGAGAGGAUGAUCAGCCACACUGGGACUGAGACACGGCCCAGACUCCUACGGGAGGCAGCAGUGGGGAAUAUUGGACAAUGGGCGCAAGCCUGAUCCAGCCAUGCCGCGUGAGUGAUGAAGGCCUUAGGGUUGUAAAGCUCUUUCAGUAGGGAAGAUAAUGACGGUACCUACAGAAGAAGCCCCGGCUAACUUCGUGCCAGCCGCCGCUGUAAUAC